AUUGCUUUGAGAAACAACAGGGAGCAAAUUACUGGACGGAUUCUUUAACUUACCAAUCAGAACCGCUGACCUUUUAUGACUCCUCAAUUCAAGAAGCCGGCCAAACACUCACAAUAAAGGCUAUGGAAACAAACAAGCAAAAUAAUGCAGUAACCUUUUACUCGCCUGCUGGAGGUACUAUCUGCUGCAUAGAAUUUUAAAUCCUCAUCUGCAGACGCAAUUGAGCUGGUAUUGCCAAGAACUCUGCUUUUCCUGUGCUGCUGCGAUACAGCUAUUCAUCAAAAGAACACAUUAUGUGAAAAACGUUAAGUACUAUCAGUUUAAGUUUCUUAUAUGAUUUAACAAAAGAACUUCUAAAAUCUAGCUAAAGCUCUGCUCUGUCACAUUUUCAGAUGCAUGUCAGACACGUUGGGGAAAAAGGUCUUACUGCUGCUGAUGUACUCCUCCUAGCAAAUGUGUGAGACUGGGAAGCUAAGAGAGUCCAGGUGGAGAAGACAUGCAACAAGCAAAAAUACCACAGCAGACAGUAGUAACUGCAAAGAAGAAGAGGGGAAGAAGAAGGAAGGAUGAGGGGCACCUGGGUGGCUCAGUCGUUGGGCGUCUGCCUUCAGCUCG